UCUAAGGGUAGUGAGCGGGCUGCUUUUUAAGUAAAAUGUUCAGUGAAUACGUUCUGGUAAAAUACCGGCUCCAUGUGAUAAAAGCACCUUUUACCUUCUCACCUGGAAAGCUUUGAAUUGUGUUUAUUUUAGAAACAUCUGCGAAAAUAUCGGUUACUGGUGCUACUUCUCAUUAACAUGCAUAAUUAGGUUCCUUUUGAAAACGUCUUAGGACCUAUGCAUAACAGUAACUAGUUCCAUAAGUUAAAUCGUUCACUAAGGGUAAUUAGAAGAACACAUUAGUUUCACUUGUGUGGAAUGCUAGUCACCGGUGUUAAGUAUUAUUCCCCAAAUUUUAUAUAGGUAUCUAGAGUGUGAACUUUGUUAGUAAUAUUCAGUAGGGAACAUAGAGAAAAUCAUAAAUGCCUAAAAUAAUAGGUUAUCAUAGACAUAUUGGCAAGCUGAUGAUGCAAAUAUGCGACUAAAAAUGAAUCAUACAAAAUCCAUAGCAGAAGCUACAUGUAAAAUGCCCUAUUUGCCAUCAUUUAUGUGGCACUUAGGUUUCAUAGAACACUUUGGCAAUUCAUACAAGUAUGUCAUAGAAUUUAUUAGAAAAUUGUAUUCUGCUCUUCCAAAAACAGCACGCAGCUCAGCAGACUGGCAGGCAUGAAAGGGGCUGAAUUCCUAGAAACAGGGUGGAGAUCAACCUAAAGGAGCAGACUUUGCCAAAGAAAGCAACUUCAGCAUAGUGCUCUCUUCCAAGAGCUAGCAGAAGCUGAAAGAGGAGGGCAGGUUCAGUAUGUGCCACCAUUUAGAUACACUGUGUCAAGCUCCUUAAUUUUGGCACAUUCUGAUCUGUUACCUCAAUGCUACUCCUUGUAAUUCAUAGAAAACACAAGGUGUGGGAGUUACAAAUGUGUAGGCUUACUGAUUCUCUACCACACACCACGUUUUGUACAAUUGGCACCAUUUUCUGUAGUAGUGUACUCCAUUUUCAUGCAGUCAUAAUUCCAGUCCAUAAUUCCUAAAGAUGCCAUAUUUAUUACCUGAGUGCAGGACUAGAUCUUAUUACUGGAUGUACAAGUCCUGAAAUUGUGGUUCUCGUCUGCAACCUAGAAGAUCUGGAUUUUAUUCCUAGUUCACAACCUGAGCAAUCAUUUGUUAAUAUUCCAUAUUUUCAGGUAUUUACUGGUAAUGACAGGGGUAACAGAAGUCACAGGCAGAGUGGGAAUCUAAGUAAAUGAGUGUUCAGAUUUGGACUGCCCUACUCAAAAGCAUAAACAAGCCUCAGCCUAUCAAAAAUGGAAAUGGGGCACUAACCUGCCAAAUACAGGGAAAUGAAUAAAUGGAAGAACAAUAAAAGUCAGUAAAGUAGGAAAUCUCA